GAUGAACGCUGGCGGCGUGCCUAAUACAUGCAAGUCGAGCGAACGGACGAGAAGCUUGCUUCUCUGAUGUUAGCGGCGGACGGGUGAGUAACACGUGGAUAACCUACCUAUAAGACUGGGAUAACUUCGGGAAACCGGAGCUAAUACCGGAUGAUAUUUUGAACCGCAUGGUUCAAAAGUGAAAGACGGUCUUGCUGUCACUUAUAGAUGGAUCCGCGCUGCAUUAGCUAGUUGGUAAGGUAACGGCUUACCAAGGCAACGAUGCAUAGCCGACCUGAGAGGGUGACUCGCCAACACGGAACUUGGGAACGGUUCAGACUCCUACGGGAGGCAGCAGUAGGGAAUCUUCCGCAAUGGGCGAAAGCCUGACGGAGCAACGCCGCGUGAGUGAUGAAGGUCUUCGGAUCGUAAAACUCUGUUAUUAGGGAAGAACAUAUGUGUAAGUAACUGUGCACAUCUUGACGGUACCUAAUCAGAAAGCCACGGCUAACUACGUG
rnacentral:rRNA from 1 species